UACGGGGGGAGCAAGCGUUGUUCGGAUUUACUGGGCGUAAAGAGCGCGCAGGCGGCUGGUCAAGUCCGAUGUGAAAGCCCCCGGCUUAACCGGGGAGGGUCGUCGGGGACGGUGGAGCUUGAGGGCGGGAGAGGUCGGUGGAAUUCCCGGUGUAGUGGUGAAAUGCGUAGAGAUCGGGAGGAACACCUGUGGCGAAGGCGGCAUCCUGGACCGACACUGACGCUGAGGAGCGAAAGCCAGGGGAGCAAAGCGGG
rnacentral:rRNA from 1 species